AAGAAGCAAAUUCUCAUCGAAAUUUUCAGAGAAAAAUUGUUCCAAAACCUAGAUCUAAUCUUUACAAACACAAAUCCUGAUUAUCUAAACCAAAUUCAACAUCAUCAUCACUUGUUCUUGGAAGAUUCGGUGAAAAUCAACGGAAAACGAAGUCAUAAUCAUCAGCAACAAAUGCAUCUGAAGAUUGGCCUACAAAAUCAAAUCGAUCAGAUAGGCAUACUCAUCUUUAACAUUUCAAUUGAGUUGGUUGAUUUAAUUCUGAGAUUUCGAAUUUUUAUUUUCUGAAAAAUCAUCUGGGAAACUUUAAUAUCUUCAUUUCAUUUCAAAUAUGUUACAGAAAUCAUAAAUAGAGUUAGAUCUAUUGUCUUCUUACCUCAAUUUUACUUUUGAGAGAAAAUUUCCAAAUUUCAAAGAAAAAUUUCUAGGAUUCUUAAACAAAAUUGGAUCUAUCUUUUUAAUCUCUCGCCUUGAUCAAAAAUCGGUUUUCAGAUUCGAAAUAUGUAAAUCAUUAUUCGUUUUACCCAUGCAUCUAUAUAAUAUGAAUUUCGUUUACUUUAAUUUUCGAACGACCUGAGCUCAUCUUUAAUGGAUUUUGUUCUUGGUUGAUUGUUUUAAGUUCAAUCUAUAUUUGUUACAUUCAGUACCUUGUCUUGAAGAUGAAAUCUUAAUCGAUGAAGAUAACUGGAAGCAUAUACAGUUGAAUCUAAUCAACUUCAACAACUAUUCCAAUAGAAAAUCAGUGAAAUAAGAUAAGUUUCUUUGAGGUUUUUUAUGGUUUGAAUGUAUCAUAUUGAAAUUGUAUAUACCCUAUGAUAUGAGUUCACUGUUCUUUUGUUCAGAAUUGGAUUAAUAUUUCAAUGUGAUUGAGUUUCUCAUUUUGAUGACUAUUCACAACAUGCGUAACUUUCGUAUACACAUCCAAAUUGAAUGUGUAACUUGCGUCUACACAUUCGAAUUGCAUGUGUAACUCUCAUUUGCACUAUUCAGAUGCUCUGUAAAUCCUAGUUACACUAGUCAUAUACAUGUGUAACUCCUAUUUACACAAGUCAAGUGCAUGUAAAACUAGUUAUACAUUGUUGUGUGUAUUGUUCUUUUUAAUCUCAUAAAAGCUUAUUGCUUUUUGUUUUCUUCAGGUUGCCAAUAACUCAAUAAAAUUAACUGCUUAUUUAUGGUAUUUUUGUAGGUUGGUCUUCCUGAAAUUGGAGUUGGCGCCGAAAUGAUGACUAAGAAGUGGAAUUCAUAAUUGAGCAAUUGUGGAAUUUCAGAAUGGAACUGAGGACCAAGUGAAGAAGAUUGUUGACACACUAACGGUGCCAAAAUUGCAUACAUAGAUGUUGUUGAGGUUAUGGUCAGUCCUCCAUUUGUGUUCCUUACCUCGGCUAAAAGUUCAUUGUAUCAUGAGAUUCAAGUGGAUGCUUGCUGGGUGAAGAAAGGAGGUGCUUUCACUGGUAAAGUUAGUGGAUUGACUACCUCGAACUACACAUAGCUUUCUCAAUAGUAUCAUAAGUACAAGGAUCAAGGUUUCCGAUAAAUUCAUAAAAGUUAAUUGCUUAUCUGUUGUAUUGGCCUCGUUGGAAUUGGAGUUGGCGCUGAAUACACAAGUCAGAUGCAUGUGUAACUCUGACUAGAUAGUUGUUUAUGUAACUCUCAGUUACCCUAGAAAGAUGUGUGUGUAACUUCUAGUUACACAUGCUAAGAAAUUAUUAUAAAUAAAUAUUAAAAUAAUACAUGUAUCUUUUGUAUGGGUUCUUUUUAAUGUCUAUUUUUUUGAUGUGUAACUUUG